rnacentral:lncRNA from 1 species
CGUGUGAGCCUCUCUGAUCUUCUUAUGUUCCUCCAUCACAUAAGCAGGAUGAGAACAGACUAAUACAUUACCCAAGAGCAAGAUUGUUUUUGGUGAUCAGAAGUCUUGUCUGAAAAGAAAAAACAUACAUCAAGUACUAAGGGGAAUGUGAUGCUAAUCUGGGAACCAUAUUUGCCCUAAGAAUGGAAGGACUGUGAACAACUGUCUGUGACGAAGUGCAGCGCCAAGGUGAAAAAAAUGCCAGGCAAGGGUAUAUUCAAUAUGAUUACUAUGAGCAUAAUUUCAAGUGACUUCUAUGAAGAAGAUUUCACAGUCACCUGAAGCAACAGCCUGCAGCUGUCAUUAUGGAAAGUCCCCAAAAGGAGCUUGGAAAAUCUUGGGAGGAUUUCUUAAAUCUUAUGAAAAAAGGGAAACAAAUAAAGUAAAAAGAAAUUUCUUCUCAAAAAGAAAUCUGAAAAUGUAGCAUUAGAAACCAAGGAGGG